CAGCCGCCGCGGGAAUACGUAGGUGGCAAGCGUUAUCCGGAAUUAUUGGGCGUAAAGCGCGCGUAGGCGGUUUUUUAAGUCUGAUGUGAAAGCCCACGGCUCAACCGUGGAGGGUCAUUGGAAACUGGAAAACUUGAGUGCAGAAGAGGAAAGUGGAAUUCCAUGUGUAGCGGUGAAAUGCGCAGAGAUAUGGAGGAACACCAGUGGCGAAGGCGACUUUCUGGUCUGUAACUGACGCUGAUGUGCGAUAGCGUGGGGAUCAAACAGGAUUAGAUACCCCAGUAGUCCCUGUCUCUUAUAC
rnacentral:rRNA from 1 species